CUUGCGUCCUCGAUUGUCCAGUUGUGCAGCAGCUUGUUUCACGCGAGGUAUAUAUCUGCUUUUUGGCCAUGUUUAUAAGACGGUUAUAUAUAGUCAACAAAAUUAGCUUCAACUGUGCAACUAAUAAAUAAUUUCUAUCAACAACUCAACACACAAAAUUUCGUGCAAGUUGUAAGCACCAGAAAUGCAACAAGAAUUUUACUUUCACAAAAACCUCCAUGUGUGCAACUAAAUACAUCAGAAAAUGCAAUCUGGACGCCCUCGAUUAACCAUUUUAGCAUAUGCUUGCUUUAUACGAGGCAUAUUGAACUGUGCAACAACAAAAGCACUAUCAACUCUUAUGCUAUGUAACUCUAAAAGCAUAUCUAUGCAUUUAUAUUUUCACCUAUGCAACACAAUACACUGACUCAUGCAAUUUCAGAACCAAUUGCUUGCUUUACGCGAUUCAUAUAUCUGUUGUAUGGCCAUGUUUACGAAAACGUUGUUUCAGUUAAAGAAGAGCUUUCAUAAUUAAAACAACAAACAUAUCUGUGCAACAACAAAUUACAACUGUGCAACUUAAUUAUCUAUGCAUUUUGUGCAACACAUAUAUUAUGACCGUGCAACAAUGCUACAAACAUAUCUGUGCAAUUUGUGCAACAACAUAUCUGUGCAAUUUUCUCAUUAGUGAAUGAAAAAUCCUUAGAUGCUACAUAAUUAUCUGUGCAAGCCAAAAGUAUAUCUGUGCAUCAUGAAUUAUUGUUGCACUAAUCAAUUGUUUACCCACACACGCACAUCAAUUGUAUGCUUGGAGCAAAAUCUAAUAAUCAAGUUGAACAAAACUAAUUUGCACAGCAAAAUACAUCCUAGUUGCACAGCAAAAUUCCCAAAACUUGUACGAAACCUUAAGGCCCCGCGUAUACCCAAAUCCUCAAUCAUAACACUACCAAUUAUCUAUUGUAUCACAAUAUCAUGAUUUACAAGUGAAAUAGAGACCAUUUCGCACAUAAGAUUAACAAUAAUCGCAAAAAAAGAGUGAGAGACAUACCAGCCGCCGGAUUCUGAUAAGCUGUUGCCGAUGAUUGUCUUGAAGAUUUCGUGAAUCUAUCGCCGCCUGAAAUCUCCACUUACUCGCCACCGUCCACUGGAAUCGUCGACGCUGCCUCAAAAUCGCGACUCACAAUUUUGCACAGAUGAGCAGUCGACGCUUUGUGCAAAGAUGAUGUCUUUUUUUUAACCCUAGAAAGUGAAAUUGGAGAAGUUAAUUCAGGAACGUGAUUUUAGGGAC
rnacentral:lncRNA from 1 species